GGCUCCCUGGGGAGCUUCGGGCUUCGGGGCUGGCCACAGGCCACAGGGCCAUGCGCUCCGCUCUAGACGCCAAAGACGCCGACAUGGUCAACUUCUCAUGAAAGUUCACUCUUGGCCUCCGUCUUCCUGUCCUUCAAGUCUCCAAAG